CAACUACUCCCUCUGUCCCAAAGUUCUUGUCUUAGAUUUGUCUAGAUACGGAUGUAUCUAAUACUAAAAUGUGACUUGAUACAUCCGUAUCUAGACAAAUCUAAGACAAGAAUUUUGGGACAGAGGAGUACUUU
rnacentral:pre_miRNA from 1 species